GCCGGGCGCGGUGGUGCGUGCCUGUAGUCCCAGCGACUCGGGAGCCUGAGGUGGGAGGAUUGCUUGAGCCCAGGAGUUCUGGGCUGUAGUGCGCUAUGCCGAUCGGGUGUCCGCACUAAGUUCGGCAUCAAUAUGGUGACCUCCCGGGAGCGGGGGACCACCAGGUUGCCUAAGGAGGGGUAAACUGGCCCAGGUCGGAUACGGAGCAGGUCAAAACUCCCGUGCUCAUCAGUAGUGGGAUCACGCCUGUGAAUAGCCACUGCAUUCCAGCCUGGGCAAUAUAGCGAGACCCCAUUUCU
rnacentral:SRP_RNA from 1 species